rnacentral:rRNA from 1 species
UACGGGGGGAGCAAGCGUUGUUCGGAUUUACUGGGCGUAAAGGGCGCGUAGGCGGUCAGCACAAGUCAGUUGUGAAAUCUCCGAGCUUAACUCGGAAAGGUCAACUGAUACUGUGCGACUAGAGUGCGGAAGGGGCAACUGGAAUUCUUGGUGUAGCGGUGAAAUGCGUAGAUAUCGAGAGGAACACCUGCGGCGAAGGCGGGUUGCUGGGCUGAUACUGACGCUGAUGCGCGAAAGCCAGGGGAGCGAACGGG